rnacentral:rRNA from 1 species
UACGAAGGGGGCUAGUGUUGCUCGGAAUCACUGGGCGUAAAGGGUGCGUAGGCGGGUCUUUAAGUCAGGGGUGAAAUCCUGGAGCUCAACUCCAGAACUGCCUUUGAUACUGAGGAUCUUGAGUUCGGGAGAGGUGAGUGGAACUGCGAGUGUAGAGGUGAAAUUCGUAGAUAUUCGCAAGAACACCAGUGGCGAAGGCGGCUCACUGGCCCGGUACUGACGCUGAGGUGCGAAAGCGUGGGGAGCCAAACAGGG